rnacentral:rRNA from 1 species
AGCGAACGCUGGCGGCAGGCUUAACACAUGCAAGUCGAGCGCCCCGCAAGGGGAGCGGCAGACGGGUGAGUAACGCGUGGGAACGUACCUUUUGGUUCGGAACAACCCAGGGAAACUUGGGCUAAUACCGAAUAAGCCCUUACGGGGAAAGAUUUAUCGCCGAAAGAUCGGCCCGCGUCUGAUUAGCUUGUUGGUGAGGUAACGGCUCACCAAGGCGACGAUCAGUAGCUGGUCUGAGAGGAUGAUCAGCCACAUUGGGACUGAGACACGGCCCAAACUCCUACGGGAGGCAGCAGUGGGGAAUAUUGGACAAUGGGGGCAACCCUGAUCCAGCCAUGCCGCGUGAGUGAUGAAGGCCCUAGGGUUGUAAAGCUCUUUUAACGGGGAAGAUAAUGACGGUACCCGUAGAAUAAGCCCCGGCUAACUUCGUGCCAGCCGCCGCCGUAAAAC